CUAAAAUCAUAAGUGCCUCUGGAGCUGCAAAUGGUAAUAAGAAGAGAAAUAAAAGAAUCAAUGUUCAGCGCUAUUGGGAAACAGACUUUCAUUAUAAGGGGAUCUAUUCUAUUUAUGGUAUCUGAUAACAUGGAUUUUACAAGUUAAUUUAUUUGCCUUUAUUCUUCUCUAUGUGCAAGAGCUACACAAAUCUCCCCUGCACUCUAAAGCACUGUUUGCUUCAAACAUCCACAGCAGCACAAUCCAGAAAGUCUCAUGUAAUCCAAAUGUGGUUGCCUUGUCUUGUACUCAAGAUCCUAAGACAAGAUACAUAGAGAAAUGUUUCCCUGAGGAUUUAGAAUUACCACUUGUGUUGCACCAAGAACUACAUGUAGAAUCCCAGUGAUAAAGAGACCCAUCUGUUUUUUAAUACAUUUUUUUUUUUCAUGGUUUUGUCAUAUCCAGGGCCCUCUGAAGUGUGGAGCCCAGGGCAGGGACCAGCCUUGCCUGAGUCUGAAAGAAAAUAUUGACUGGGUCAUUUGGAUUUUUCUUCUUACGAUUUUGGAAUUUAGAACUAAGGUUGUUGGGAGCUGAGCCAUGUUCAUAGCAGAGGAAUGGAACUUCCCUUUGUGGAAGUUCCUGGAUCUUCCAGAGCCUGGGGAGUUUUCCUCUUCCUUGGAUUCCAGGAGAUAUGAGAGGAGGAAGCUGUGCUGUGAAGGAUCCUUUUUCAUCAUGAUUAUUGCAUCUACAGGAGCAGUGAUAAAUUCUAAUAGAUAAUGCAACUCAGUCUACUUGGAUGUUCACCCCUGAGACUGGAGAAGACCUGCUGCCUUCUGCAGAGCCAAACAUUCCUCACAUGCUCCUUCACAAUGCUGCAAGCCAUAUUUAUUCAUUUAAAAGCUAGUUCCUCGCUGUUUCUUGUACAUUAAUUCUUUUAAAACUUUUACAAAACAAACUAAAUUUAAAGAGGAAAUUAUUUACUGUAGAACUAAUGGCCUGAAAAUAGUUGUCCAACAUAGCAUUGCACAUAGCAACAGGAAGUAGUUUAUGUACGAGGAAGUCUCUUUCAAACGUGCUUGGAUAUUGACAAAAUUCUCUGCCUUAUAAACGAAGGAGUUCUUUUUUAUAUAUUUUAGAGCCAAUGCAGCAAGAAUAGUCUUAUAUAGACUAUAAGCUCCUGGAACACUGUGUCUACAUUGCUCACUGCAGUGUCCCAACAUCUAAGACCAUGGUCUUAGAUGUCUGGUAUAGGACUGGUGCUCAGUAUGCACUGAAUGAAUAAAUGAAUGAAUAUAGCAAAGCAUUCCAUGAUGUUCUCUUGAAUUCAUUUAUUCUUUGAAAUUUGUUUCUUUGUUUGUUUGUUUUGGUGCAGUGGUUAUGUACUACUAGGAGUAUGAUAUGUGUUCUUCAAUAAAUCUCUUCAAAUUAUAAUAAAGAUUUAGUGCUAACCUUCUGCUCACUA
rnacentral:lncRNA from 1 species